GCGGGUGUCGUGCGAGGUGCACAGCUGCCUUUCAUUGCAAUCUUGCGAAAUGCGAGCAGCUUUUCCGGGUUCGACUCCCGGCGCCCGCC